rnacentral:lncRNA from 1 species
GUCUUAACAAAAUUUAAAAAAAAAUGCAGCUUAUCAGAAGUGUUGAACAUGCUAAACUGAUAUUUUGUUUGUGCAAUAGAUCUGAGGAGUACAGUGAACUGUUUGAUAACAGCAAUAUGCAAUGUGUCUUUGAAUAUCAAAGUUCCUGUAGUGACUAGUUAGAAAAUGUCUCUUUUUUAACUUACCAGAACCAGAAUUUGAUCAUUUGGAAAUAAUCAAAUACAAAUGGAUGCUGUUCUUCGCU